rnacentral:rRNA from 1 species
UACAGAGGUCCCAAGCGUUGUUCGGAUUCAUUGGGCGUAAAGGGUGCGUAGGUGGCGCCGUAAGUCGGGUGUGAAAUUUCGGAGCUUAACUCCGAAACUGCAUUCGAUACUGCGGUGCUUGAGGACUGGAGAGGAGACUGGAAUUCUUGGUGUAGCAGUGAAAUGCGUAGAUAUCAAGAGGAACACCAGUGGCGAAGGCGAGUCCCUGGACAACACCUGACACUGAGGCACGAAAGCUAGGGGAGCAAACAGG